rnacentral:lncRNA from 1 species
AACCCCCCUGAGGAGGGGGGGGCCCGUGCUGGCCCCUCCCCUAACCAGCCGCUGCAGGUCCGGCCCGAAGCUGACCCUCGCUCCAGAAUCCGGAAGGCCCGGGACGCCUCCAUCUUGACGGAGAGAAAGAGCUCCAGGAACGUCGAGAAGGAGUGAAAAGAGAGAGUCCUUGAGUCCCCUGUCUGUGCAAGUAAAUGACAAGACUCUUGUGUGACAGAAGAGGAAACUGAGGCACAGAGAAGUGACACCUCCCUGCCCUCACCUCGUCACAGCACUUCCCAGCAAGAGGAGCCCCUAAAAGCCAGCCCAGCCCUGGACCGAGGCUCAGAGAAGAGACCACAGCAAGAAGACAGCCGUCCACAAGCCAGGAGAGUCCUGCACCAGGAACCGAAUUGCUGGCACCUUGAUUUUGGACUUCCCAGCCUCCAGAACUGUCCCCUCUCUCGGCACCUUUGUUUUUCAUCUGUGAAAUGGGCACGACGUCAGCACCUCUGUCAGCAAAGGCGGUCGUGUCGU